rnacentral:rRNA from 1 species
AUGAAAAUUGUACCUUACAGAAAAGGAUUUGGUUGCAAGAAAAAUGACAAGGAUAACUGGGGUAUUGCAGGGGCCACUAACGAGGUGGCGACCCUGAAGGAGGCGGUGGCCACGGCCGAAUGCAAUGCGGCUGCGGAGCGCACCGAGCGAGAGAAACAGGAGGCGCGGGUGGCGGAGGUACAGCAAGAGCUCCAGGAUCUCGUGAGGAAACAUGAGAGCCUGGAGCGUGACUCGAAGACUCGAGAGUCUGAGCUUGCAACGGCUCUUGAGAGUGCCAAAGCCGCUAAGGCCGAAGCCUACAAGGCCCUCCAGGAGAUAGAGGCGGUGAAGAAAAUAGCAGCGGGUAAGGCAUUUUUCAUGCAAAGUAAGCAUGUGAGUGUUAAUUACCUGUCGCUUACCCGAAUUCGGAGCUCUCCAGGAGCGUUCGCAGAUCUUCCCCGCAGCGUGUCCGAUGCUGUCGCAUUCUACCGGGCCAAUGAGGGGAGCUCAACGGAGAAGGUCUUCUGGUCUCAGUAUGCUGAGGCCGGACAUCCGGUGCCCCUUAGCGACCAGCUGAAGCAGCUGGUCGAGCUCCACAAGGCGGCCGAACAGGCCAUGAAGGGCCUCAUAGUUCGGUUGUGGCCUAAGGAGGCUAUGCCUGGGAGCUACUUCGGUCUGGUGCGGCGGCUGGUGGACGCGUGCCCGUGGGUUGAAGUUAUCAAGCAUUCCGCCUGUAUCAAGGGUGUGCGUCGGGCCCUUGCCCACGCAAAGGUGCACUGGGGCAAGAUGGAUGCCCAGAAGCUUGUGACGGACCCCCCACCAGAGGGCAAGGAGCAUCGCACGCCCGAGAUGUAUUAUAGGAGUGUGCUGAAGGGCGCCCGCAUUAUUGCGGGUGAGUGCUCCAAAGAAGAAGUUUUUGAGUAG